rnacentral:rRNA from 1 species
CCUACGGGUGGCAGCAGUGGGGAAUAUUGGACAAUGGGGGCAACCCUGAUCCAGCGACGCCGCGUGAGUGAAGAAGUAUUUCGGUAUGUAAAGCUCUUUCAGCAGGGAAGAAAAUGACGGUACCUGACUAAGAAGCCCCGGCUAACUACGUGCAAGCAGCCGCGGUAAUACGGAGGGGGCAAGCGUUAUUCGGAUUUACUGGGUGUAAAGGGAGCGUAGACGGGGGAGGAAGGUGGGGGUGAAAGGUCAGGGCCCAACCCCGGGACUGCAAUGGAAACUAGUGAACUGGAGUAGAGGAGAGGUAAGCGGAAUUCCUGGUGUAGCGGUGAAAUGCGUAGAUAUUAGGAAGAACACCAGUGGCGAAGGCGGCUUACUGGCUUGAAACUGACGUUGAGGCUCGAAAGCGUGGGGAGCAAACAGGAUUAGAUACCCGGGUAGUC